rnacentral:SRP_RNA from 1 species
GCUGGGCGUGGUGGCUCACGCCUGUAAUCCCAGCACCUUGAGAGGCCGAGGCAGGUGGAUCACUUGAGGUCAGGAGUUCGAGACCAGCCUGGCCAACAUGGUGAAACCCUGUCUCUA